UUGUAUAGUUUUGAUAAGUCAUUUUUCUUAAGGAGCUGCCCCAUCCGUACGAUACGAUACGAUACACCAACCUAUUUUGUAAACUAGUUAAGGUACCAAAGUAUGGUACUCAUACCCUGACUUGUACACCACCAAACAUGGAUUUUGGCCCAAAAUAGCCGCUUGAAAAUUCAAUUUAGCAUACCAUAGAGAAUGUCUCAACCACUAUUAAUCAAGUUACCCUUUGCAUAUGAAUAAUACACCCAAAUCAUCUUAUAAAAGGGAAAAUGCUCAAUUUAUAGUACUCCCCUUCGACUUUCAAAAACAAUAGUAUCAACAACAAUUCUGCUUUGAUUCUGAGUAGGAGAAAACUAACAUAAGAACCUCAUCAGACCUUUAUACGGACCAUGAAGGAACCUGUCAUUGACAAUAAAGAAAAAAUUAGGAACUUCACAUGGAAUUUAUGUUAAUUUGUGCCACUGUGCACAUGCAUAAUCUGCUAAAUGGAAAGACAUUUACUCAAUGGAAAGCUAUCACAUUUGUAACAGGAUAUUGGUGUCAUUGGUGUUUAACUUACUCAAGAACCAGAUAAAUGGAAAGAAUUUUUCUUAGAAGGUGUUCGGUUUAAAGCAAUUCCAUCCUUCAAGAUCAAUAAUUCCAAAAAAAUAAAGUCUACAUUCCCCGUUUGGCCCCCAUUUUUUGGAAAUGAUAAUGCGUGGAAUAGUAUUUUUUUGAAAAAUGAGUGGUAGAAAAAGAAAAAAAAGUUUUCAAUUUACAUAUAAUAUUAUUUUAUAGAAGAUCAUGUGAUUAAAAACAGGUGAGAGAAAAAUAAAAUGUAAUGGAACGAAAAUUAAUGGAGACCAAAUGGGGGCUAACAAGGUUUAAGAGUUGUGCCACAGAAGUCAAAAGGUGUUGAAAAUGUGAUACAUUUGAGAAACUAAGUUAGAGCACCAAAGUCCAAGGAAGAACUGAUAUUUGAAACAAAAGCGGAUACCUGUGACUGUUCACAACAAAAAUUAUUUGUCCCCUUUCCAAGGGCUUGAGCUUUUAUUGCGAUAGUUCAAAUGGUAUCGGGAACCACGAACGUUUUAUUCCCCUUUAUGACAUAUUCCUUCCUAGGGAUUAUAAAGCAUUUAUUUGUUUUAUCACUAAGAAUGCCGUAAGAAAUUUCUGUGAGGCUUAGCAGAACUGAAGCAAAGGUCAAAAGGUGUUGAAAAUGUGAGAUAUACAUUUGAGAAACUAAGAGCGCCAAAGUCUAAGGAAGAACUGAUAUUUGAAACAAAAGCGGAUACCUGUGACUGUUCACAACAAAAAUUAUUUGUCCCCUGUCCAAGAGCUUGAGCUUUUAUUGCAAUAGUUCAAAUGGUAUCGGGAACCACAAGAGUUUUUAAUUCCCCUUUAUGACAUUUUCCUUCCUAGGGAUUAUAAAGCAUUUAUUUGUGUUAUCACUAAGAAUGCUGAAAGAAAUUUCUGUGAGACUUAGCAGAGUUGGAGCAAAAAAUUUAGUCUAGGUCCUGUUUGGUGGAGGUUAAAAUCAGAUUUUUAAUAGAUUUUGAUAAAAGUUGAUGAAAUGUGUGGUUGAAAAGUUGUGGAUCUCAUAAAAUGUGAGGUUUAAAAUUAAUUAUUGAUUUUGACUUGGAUUAAAAUCUGGAUUUUAAUUCGUACCAAACAAGAGCUAAGUUCAGUUAUCUGUAAAUACCUCUUCCCUUUCAGACUUAGCCAAGCAGGCUACCCUUUAAAAGGUCUACAUAGGAUUCUUAAAAAUCUCUAAUCGAAUCAUUGAUUUUUGGGCCACUAUCAUAUGAUUGGUUUGUCCCAUUUGUUUCCCACUUACACUCCAUGCUCGUCAUCAAAAAGUUAAGAUUGUAAAUGGCUCUUUGACUACGGUUGUUGGGAAGGGCACAACCCCUCAUCAAAAAAUGUUACUCUCACUUUCAUAGUCUUGUCCUUCCUCUUAUGGUAUCUGAAUGUGUUGCAUUUCUUCACAUUUGUAAGCACAUUAUAAGUUAGAAACUAGGUCUUUGAUGUGCGUCUUUCUAUGUUAUUCACCUACAUUACAGUUAUAUACGUUUUCGUUCCAUUGAAUUGAGUAUGAUUACCAAGAAGUUAAUUCGGGCCUUAAUGUUUACCUUGAGUGUAACCAAACAGAAUUGGGGGAAGCUAUGAUGAGUGCAACGUACUUGUUCAACUAAAUGCCUUCUAGAGUUUAAAAUUCGCUAAAACCUUCACUCUCAUGGUCUUGUCCUUCCUCCUAUGAUAUUUGAAUGUGUUGCAUUUCUUCACAUUUGUAAGCACAUUAUAAGUUAGAAACUAGGUCUUUGAGGUAUGUCUAUGCCCUUGUUUGGUACCCAUUUUUCCCAAAAUACAUUUCUCUCUCUUAUUUUCAACCAUACACUCUUUAAUAAAAUAAUAUUACACGCAAAACUAAAACUUUUCCUUAUUUUUUAAUCACACAUUUUUCAACAAUCACCAUUACAAAAUGCAUUUUUACUAUGAAAAUGAGAAAUAAACAUGCUCUAUCUAUGUUAUUUUUUGAUAGGUGUCUAUCUAUGUUAUUCACCUACACAACAUAGUUAUAUAUGUUUUCGUUCCAUCAAAUUGAGUAUGUUUGUGUGAUUACAUCUACUAUGCCAAGAAUAUCGAUNUUUAAAAUUCGCUAAAACCUUCACUCUCAUGGUCUUGUCCUUCCUCCUAUGAUAUUUGAAUGUGUUGCAUUUCUUCACAUUUGUAAGCACAUUAUAAGUUAGAAACUAGGUCUUUGAGGUAUGUCUAUCUAUGUUAUUUUUUGAUAGGUGUCUAUCUAUGUUAUUCACCUACACAACAUAGUUAUAUAUGUUUUCGUUCCAUCAAAUUGAGUAUGUUUGUGUGAUUACAUCUACUAUGCCAAGAAUAUCGAUGAAUCUGACUAUUGCAAUUGCUCAUAUUAACUUUUUUUUAGCUUCUAAGGUCUACUUAUUAGUUUAAGAUCCCUCUCAUUAACUGGAAUUUAAAAAUUAGAUCUGUUUCGAUCAUUAUGGGAAUGGCUAAGGCUAUGAACAUAUAAUUUGAACUUCAAGUUGAUUCCAUGAUUAUAAGGUCAUUCCAUACCAGACCAAACUGGAAUAAGGUUAUUUACAUUCUCAAGGGGUCAUUUGGGCAUACAUAAAUAGAUAUUAUAUUUACAUAUAGAUCCUUAUAUCGUUCCAUUCCAUUAAAGAUUAGGAAUAAGUGUAAUCAUACCAGCUUUUUCCAUAUCUCUUGUUAUUUGUGACCCUAUUCACUUCUUCGAGCUUCUAUUGAAUCAAAAUAUAGGAAAAACAUUCUCUAGAUAACUCAUAUCGAAGCAAUUGGAUGACCAACUCUGGCUGAUCAAUAAAAACACCCACCCUUGUCAUAUACUCCAUACAUUACACUAGAUAGAUAUCAUAUUCAUGAAAUAGGAUUUACUUUCCAGAUGCCUUGGUAGUGAAAUGGUAGACAAGCCAGUCUCAAAAUCUUGUGCUAAAAAUCGUGGAUGUUCUUCAAGGUAUAAUAUUGAGACUGCUUUUCUACUGGAAAAUAUGCUACUAUGAAACACAACUUUCUUUGUAAACAUGUUUUAUUUCUACCAAAUAUCAAAUUAGUGUAAAUGAUCAAUCUCAGGCUGUUCUACCUAAUUAAUCUCUUAUAAUCAGUUCUCAACUAUCUUACUAGUCCUCUCUAAUCUUUUAUCAGUCCUUCAAGUUCUCACUCAAAAUAGACAAUAUUUUCCAAUCUCUAAAGAUAGAUAGAGAGGCUCAAACGAGUUGUAGGUAUAUUUAUAGAUCUUCGGAGAGCCAUACCCCAAAAACUAGCUGUUGAAGUUGGAGACCUCAAAUCUAUAUAAACAACAGACCGAAAACACAUAUUUUCAAUGUGAGAUCCAAAUCUCAUAACUUGCAAUGAAAACCAUGACACACCACCGAGAUCCCGCAUCCAUUUCAAACUGGCUCUGCACUAGCCCAAGACUAGUCCCAGACGAACACUGCUAUGGUUGGAUGGUGCCACUCAAUUGCAGAAAGACAUGGUGCCUGCUCUAAUACCAUUGUUAUAAAUCAUGGGAGAGUCAUACCUCAAAAACUAGUGGUUAAAUUUGGAGAGCUCAAGUCUAUAUAUAAACCACUCUCCGAAAGCCCAUACUUUCAAGGUGGGAUCCAAGUCCCAUAAUUUGCAAUAGGAACCAUGAUAGUAUAAUCUAAACAAAGUAAAUAAGGACGGGAAAACUUCUCGUCGCAUUGCCAAACUACUAACAUGGACUUAGGGAUUCAAAGAAACACAAGUAAUCUUGAUUUUAUUUUACCUUCUUAUUCUUAUAUUUAUUGUCGUGUACUCAUCAUCCAAUAAUUUGUUUGUCUCCUAUCAUUGAUUUCUCAAGCCUUUUAUCAGUAAUCUAUCUCACGUGGAUGUUCCUAAAUGUACUCAAUAAACUUAAGAUCCAAAGUGCGGAGAAGCAAUUCCUGAAAAGCUGAACGUUUUACGCAAAAUCAAUACCCAAGAAUAUGUGAAACUAACACCGCAAAAGAAAACAGUUGGAUGUAAAUGGGAUUUCACAGAAGCGGCAUGCUGACAAACGAUGAAUAAAUGCUAAUGGAUUCACUCUGGCCAAUGAAAUAGACUACCAGAAGAUAAUUGUGCCAAUACAAAGAUGGAUUUUAUGCUGGUAAUAUUGCCCUCAGCAACUAACCUAGAGUAAUAUUUGCAUCAACUGGAUGUGAAGAAUACAUAUCUCCAUGAAGUAGAAAUAUUUGCAGAUGUCCUCAAAGUUCUUAGGUAAUUUAUGGGACAACGGUGUUCAGAUUGAAACUAUUUCUCUAUAAUUUAAAGCAAUCUCCAUUAAUUUGAAGAGUUUACAAAAUUUGUUCAUAAGUCGAAUACGCACAAACCACAAAGCAAAGGUUACAAUACACUAUUCCUCAAACAACUCAAAAUUGUAAAGCUACCAUUCUAAGUGUAAAUUGAUGAUAUUAUUAUGGACAAGGAUCUGAAGAAAUUUGAAACAUCAUCUUGCAUGUAAAUAUGAGUAUAAAGAUCUACAGUGCCUAAGGUAUUUCUUAUGUAUUGAAGUUGUUACAUCUCAAAUAGGAAUCUGUGUCUCAAGAGAACAAUAUGAAUCUUUUGAAAGAUGCAGUUAUAUUGGGUCGCAAGCUAGCUAGAACUCCCAAGGAUAUGAACUAUGAACUUGGGACAGCAUUAGAAACGGAGAUAAUGACAGAUAUCAAAAUCUUAUCACCAAGAUUAUUAUUGUGUCACAACAAAGGAGACAUUGCCUUAGCAAACUGUAAUUUGUUACUUUAUGCACUCUACUCAUACAGGGCCAAAAAAAUAAUAAUAAUAAUAAAUAAAUUAAGACCUUGCGUUGCUUAAAAUGCUUUGUAGAUUUUGUUUUUUCUCAAAAAAUAAUCGCAUGAGCAUGGAAGCAUAUUGUGAUCCAAUCUAGGCUGGCUCCAUCAUAGACAAGUUGCCACACUUUCAUUGGUGAAAAUAUAACAACUUGAAUGAGAAUUCCGACAAUGCUCCACUAAGACCAUAUCUUGAUGCCAUAUAUGGGAUUUUACGAAUAAGUUUAAAAUAACCCAAGAAACCUUAUAGCAUCCUAGGUUACCAAAAAACAGGCCAAUAAGUUUGGACCAGUGACAAUUGACAAAUCCCAAGAGAGAAACUAAUUAAGAAGUGCACACAUACUGGGUUACAUGUGCCUGAACAAGUCAAGGUGUAAGCCUUGAUAAAUAGCACUCAAAGCAUAAGCUUUGAAGCUCUUGACUAAGGCUUCACAUGAGGCGCAACUCAAGGUGGAAGCCUCUGGAUCUAUUGAAAAUGAUGAGCCAAACCCGUCAUCAU
rnacentral:lncRNA from 1 species